CACGUAGGGUGCGAGCGUUGUCCGGAAUUAUUGGGCGUAAAGAGCUCGUAGGCGGUGUGUCGCGUCGGCCGUGAAAACCUGCAGCUUAACUGUGGGCUUGCGGUCGAUACGGGCAUCACUGGAGUUCGGCAGGGGAGACUGGAAUUCCUGGUGUAGCGGUGAAAUGCGCAGAUAUCAGGAGGAACACCAAUGGCGAAGGCAGCACUCUGGGACGGUACUGACGCUGAGACGCGAAAGCGUGGGGAGCAAACAGG
rnacentral:rRNA from 1 species